UAAAAAGUCAAUAGAAGAAGAAUCGGUUUACUUGGAUUUGGAGCGACAAUUUUCACACAAAAGAGAGGAAAAACGAGCGCCAUUGCGGAAAAUCCUGGUGGCGAGGGAGAGAGAGAGGGAGACGAUGCAACAAUAUUUGUUUGGGAAAGGGCAAGGAAAUACUUCUGGUCGUUUCUGAAUUGGAAGGCUGCAGCCUCCGGAGGUCAAAUAUGCAGGCUGCAUACGUCAUCAAGCCUGGUUUAUUAAGGUGUGCCACUGUGGGUGGCUCCCGCACACCCGUGGCUACGCCCCUGCCGUGACCCAAAUCUCGUUCGCACAUCAUCGCGAUGUUUAUCAUCAAUUUACAAACCUCGCCAGUCGCCGCAUCUUUUUUCUUCACAUACAUCUCAUACUCCUCCAUCUACACGCUCCACAACAUUUAAACCAACGGCUCUUUUAACAGCCAUCACCUGCAAAAGCUCUCCUCACUCACUCAGUUUUGGCCAGUUAUGUCAGGAAGCUGAAACUAUUUCAAAGCAUCUUGAAAUGAAAGCUGACAAUGCUGAACUUGAAGCAGCUACCAGAGAGGCUGAAGAAAUUCUACAAAUGUUCAAUCCUCCACUGCUGAAAAAGAAGACCAAACGAGCGAUUUCCUGGACUCAACAGACACAGUGAACUUUGCACUGCAUUUCAAAGCCAGCUCCUCAGCCGCAACACUGAAAACCAGAGUUGAAGUCAAUGUACUGCUGAGAAAAGUGCAAGAUCUGUUUAACCAAAAAUAUAAGGAUGCCAGAGGUACUGGAACGCUCCCCUACCAAUCCCUGGUAAAUCAAGGCAUGACAGUUAAAGUUGCAGGACUGCCCAACAGCCUCAAAAAGUCAUCCUAUUAUGGAAGGAACCAGUUGGAGGCCAUUUUGCAAGCUGCUGAGGAGAUUUCAUUUGAAAUCAAGCUGGAAGAAAAGUCCUCAGAAACAGCCACUACUGUAGCUAUCGUGAUGACUGCAGAUUAAGAUGGAGGCUAUUUGUGCUGUGUCUGCCGCGUCCUUUUCGAUGACAGGAAGAAGAAUGCUUCAGAGAAGUGGUCACAGUGCACAGUGUGCUAAUCAUGGUCACACCCUGCAUGUCAAGACACCAUACAAACAGCCUGUAGCACUGCAUCAGUGAUAGGAAACAUGCUAGUUACACAAGAUGUUUUAUGUUUUAACUUUGAGUUGUUUUUACUUUGUUCAUGACCCCAUCCCUACAAACACAGACACAUAUUUUUUUUACUUUUAUGUAUUGGGUGCAAUUUAAUAUUUUUCAUGCAAAUGUAUUGUAAUGAUUACACUUAUAAGAAUAAAACAGAUUUUUAAUUCACUCUAAUUUGUAUUUAUUGUUGUCAUUUGUUGGCACCAUAAGUGUGGUCCCUUUACCUGGGACAUGUGGGGACCAAUUAAUAUCUAUUGUACUGAAUUUAGGCCACAGGUUGUAAAUGAUAAGUAGCCUAUUGUUUCAUCUUUU